AUUGAACGCUGGCGGCAUGCCUUACACAUGCAAGUCGAACGGCAGCACGGGUGCUUGCACCUGGUGGCGAGUGGCGAACGGGUGAGUAAUACAUCGGAACAUGUCCUGUAGUGGGGGAUAGCCCGGCGAAAGCCGGAUUAAUACCGCAUACGAUCUACGGAUGAAAGCGGGGGACCUUCGGGCCUCGCGCUAUAGGGUUGGCCGAUGGCUGAUUAGCUAGUUGGUGGGGUAAAGGCCUACCAAGGCGACGAUCAGUAGCUGGUCUGAGAGGACGACCAGCCACACUGGGACUGAGACACGGCCCAGACUCCUACGGGAGGCAGCAGUUGGGAAUUUUGGACAAUGGGCGAAAGCCUGAUCCAGCAAUGCCGCGUGUGUGAAGAAGGCCUUCGGGUUGUAAAGCACUUUUGUCCGGAAAGAAAUCCUUGGCCCUAAUACGGUCGGGGGAUGACGGUACCGGAAGAAUAAGCACCGGCUAACUACGUG
rnacentral:rRNA from 1 species